rnacentral:rRNA from 1 species
GUAAGCCCCGGAGGGUCGCAGAGAAUAGGUGGCUGCGACUGUUUAUUAAAAACACAGCACUCUGCCAACACGAAAGUGGACGUAUGGGGUGUGACGCCUGCCCGGUGCCGGAAGGUUAAUUGAAGAUGUGCAAGCAUCGGAUCGAAGCCCCGGUAAACGGCGGCCGUAACUAUAACGGUCCUAAGGUAGCGAAAUUCCUUGUCGGGUAAGUUCCGACCCGCACGAAUGGCGUAACGAUGGCCACACUGUCUCCUCCCGAGACUCAGCGAAGUUGAAGUGGUUGUGAAGAUGCAAUCUACCCGCUGCUAGACGGAAAGACCCCGUGAACCUUUACUGUAGCUUUGCAUUGGACUUUGAAGUCACUUGUGUAGGAUAGGUGGGAGGCUUGGAAGCAGAGACGCCAGUCUCUGUGGAGUCGUCCUUGAAAUACCACCCUGGUGUCUUUGAGGUUCUAACCCAGACCCGUCAUCCGGGUCGGGGACCGUGCAUGGUAGGCAGUUUGACUGGGGCGGUCUCCUCCAAAGCGUAACGGAGGAGUUCGAAGGUUACCUAGGUCCGGUCGGAAAUCGGACUGAUAGUGCAAUGGCAAAAGGUAGCUUAACUGCGAGACCGACAAGUCGGGCAGGUGCGAAAGCAGGACAUAGUGAUCCGGUGGUUCUGUAUGGAAGGGCCAUCGCUCAACGGAUAAAAGGUACUCCGGGGAUAACAGGCUGAUUCCGCCCAAGAGUUCAUAUCGACGGCGGAGUUUGGCACCUCGAUGUCGGCUCAUCACAUCCUGGGCUGUAGUCGGUCCCAAGGGUAUGGCUGUUCGCCAUUUAAAGUGGUACGUGAGCUGGUUUAAAACGUCGUGAGACAGUUUGGUCCCUAUCUGCAGUGGGCGUUGGAAGUUUGACGGGGGCUGCUCCUAGUACGAGAGGGACCGGAUGGACGAACCUCUGGGUGUCACCGGUUGUAACGCCAGUUGCAUAGCCGGGUAGCUAAGUUCGGAAGAGAUAAGCGCUGAAAGCAUCUAAGCGCGAAACUCGCCUGAAGAUGAGACUUCCCUUGCGGUUUAACCGCACUAAAGGGUCGUUCGAGACCAGGACGUUGAUAGGUGGGGUGUGGAAGCGCGGUAACGCGUGAAGCUAACCCAUACUAAUUGCCCGUGAGGCUUGACUCUAU